AGAUUGAACGCUGGCGGCAGGCCUAACACAUGCAAGUCGAGCGCGAAAGUCUUCGGAUGAGUAAAGCGGCGGACGGGUGAGUAACGCGUGGGAAUCUGCCUGGUAGUGGGGGACAACAGCCGGAAACGGCUGCUAAUACCGCAUACGCCCUACGGGGGAAAGGGGGGAUCUUCGGACCUCUCGCUAUCGAGAUGACG
rnacentral:rRNA from 1 species